rnacentral:rRNA from 1 species
AUUGAACGCUGGCGGCAUGCCUUACACAUGCAAGUCGAACGGCAGCACGGGGGCAACCCUGGUGGCGAGUGGCGAACGGGUGAGUAAUACAUCGGAACGUGUCCUGUAGUGGGGGCUAGCACGGCGAAAGCCGGACUAAUACCGUAUACGCUAUAAGUAGGAAAGGGGGGGAUCUUAGGACCUCGCGCUACAGGCGCGGCCGAUGGCAGAUUAGCUAGUUGGUGUGGUAAAGGCCUACCAAGGCGACGAUCCGUAGCUGAUCUGAGAGGACGACCCGCCACACUGGGACUGAGACACGGCCCAGACUCCUACGGGAGGCAGCAGUGGGGAAUUUUGGGCAAUGGGCGCAAGCCUGAUGCAGCAAUGCCGCGUGAGUGAAGAAGGUCUUCGGGUCGUAAAACUCUUUUAUCAGGAAAGAAAACGUGGGUGUUUAUAUCCGUAGCGCAUGACGGUACCGGAACAGUAAGCCCCGGCUAACUACGUG